UACGAAGGGGGCUAGCGUUGUUCGGAAUCAUUGGGCGUAAAGAGCGUGUAGGCGGCCCGGUAAGUCCGCUGUGAAAGUCGGGGGCUCAACCCUCGAAUGCCGGUGGAUACUGUCGGGCUAGAGUGCGGAAGAGGCGAGUGGAAUUCCUGGUGUAGCGGUGAAAUGCGCAGAUAUCAGGAGGAACACCUAUUGCGAAGGCAGCUCGCUGGGACGUAACUGACGCUGGAGACGCGAAAGCGUGGGGAGCAAACAGG
rnacentral:rRNA from 1 species